CGCUUACCACUUUGUGCUUCAUGACUGGGGUGAAGUCGUAACAAGGUAACCGUAGGGGAACCUGCGGUUGGAUCACCUCCUUACCUUAAAGAAGC
rnacentral:rRNA from 1 species